UCAUCAUGAGCUUACAAGAAAUACACACACAGACACACAUACACGUACACACAUACAGACACACACAUACACGUACACACAUACAGACACACAUACAUACACAGAUACAUGCAUACAGACACACAUACAGACACACACACAUACAGAGACACAUACAUCCACACAUACACACAUACAGACACACAUAUAAGAAUAAUAAACAACAAUGAUUUUGCAAUGUAUUCCUCAAGAGCAUGCUCACUCUCGUGCUCUAGUCACCUCAAAUUUAGCCAAGUAAUCACAAGCAUUGAUGCAGACAAGAUCACAAAGUAAUGCUUGGCAAAGAAUAAGCCUGUCUGGAGAUAAGCUGCAGCGCUGCCUACCUGUCAGAGGGGCAUAAAAACAUAAAAUGCUGGAUGGCAGUAAAAGUUCAAAAUAAUCAAAGCAAUAUAAUAAUGACUAUCAACUAACAAGAUAAAAUGUUUUUGACUCAUAUAUUGCAUUGCAUAAAAGCCGUCACUUCAAUACAGUAAUUUUG
rnacentral:lncRNA from 1 species